UACGAAGGGGGCUAGCGUUGUUCGGAUUUACUGGGCGUAAAGCGCACGUAGGCGGAUUGUUAAGUCAGGGGUGAAAUCCUGGAGCUCAACUCCAGAACUGCCUUUGAUACUGGCAAUCUAGAGUCCGGAAGAGGUGAGUGGAAUUCCUAGUGUAGAGGUGGAAUUCGUAGAUAUUAGGAAGAACACCAGUGGCGAAGGCGGCUCACUGGUCCGGUACUGACGCUGAGGUGCGAAAGCGUGGGGAGCAAACAGG
rnacentral:rRNA from 1 species